UUAUGUGUGAAGGAGUGGUUUUCUAAAAUGGUGGAAACAAGGAAACACUUAUAUUAGCAAAAACCAUUA
rnacentral:sRNA from 10 species